GAGUAACGCGUAUCCAACCUGCCACCACUUGGGGAUAACCUUGCGAAAGUAAGACUAAUACCCAAUGAUAUCCCUAGAAGACAUCUGAAAGGGAUUAAAGAUUUAUCGGUGAUGGAUGGGGAUGCGUCUGAUUAGCUUGUUGGCGGGUAACGGCCCACCAAGGCAACGAUCAUAGGGGUUCUGAGAGGAAGGUCCUCCACAUUGGAACUGAGACACGGGUCCAAACUCCUACGGGAGGCAGCAGUGAGGAAUAUUGGUCAAUGGGCGAGAGCCUGAACCAGCCAAGUAGCGUGCAGGACGACGGCCCUAUGGGUUGUAAACUGCUUUUAUAUGGGGAUAAAGUGAGCUACGUGUAGUUUAUUGCAGGUACCAUAUGAAUAAGGACCGGCUAAUUCCGUG
rnacentral:rRNA from 1 species